rnacentral:rRNA from 1 species
GAUGAACGCUAGCGGCAGGCCUAACACAUGCAAGUUGAGGGGUAGAGGAAGCUUGCUUCCUUGAGACCGGCGCACGGGUGCGUAACGCGUAUGCAAUCUACCUUUUACAGAGGGAUAGCCCAGAGAAAUUUGGAUUAAUACCUCAUAGUAUCUUUGCCUGGCAACGGGUGAUUAUUAAAGUUCCAACGGUAAAAGAUGAGCAUGCGUCCUAUUAGCUAGAUGGUAAGGUAACGGCUUACCAUGGCAACGAUAGGUAGGGGUCCUGAGAGGGAGAUCCCCCACACUGGUACUGAGACACGGACCAGACUCCUACGGGAGGCAGCAGUGAGGAAUAUUGGACAAUGGGCGCAAGCCUGAUCCAGCCAUGCCGCGUGCAGGAAGACGGUCCUAUGGAUUGUAAACUGCUUUUGUACGGGAAGAAACACUCCUACGUGUAGGAGCUUGACGGUACCGUAAGAAUAAGGAUCGGCUAACUCCGUGCCAGCCGCCGCCGUAACAC